rnacentral:rRNA from 1 species
GUCCACGCCCUAAACGAUGCUAACUGGACGUUGGGAGCAAUUAGGCUCUCAGUGUCGAAGCUAACGCGUUAAGUUCGCCGCCUGGGGAGUACGGUCGCAAGACUGAAACUCAAAGGAAUUGACGGGGGCCCGCACAAGCGGUGGAGUAUGUUGUUUAAUUCGAUGCAACGCUCAGAACCUUACCUGGCCUUGACAUCCACGGAAUCCUUGAGAGAUCAGGGAGUGCCUUCGGGAACCGUGAGACAGGUGCUGCAUGGCUGUCGU